AGUCUAGCAUGUGCGCGAGUCAUUGGGACUCAAUAAACCUAAAGGCGCAAUGAAAGUGAAAGUCUGUUUACGCGGACUUAGGGAGGAUAGGUGCGUGCACAUUGUGUACAACCUCGCACUCCCGGGGCGUCUCGCACUCAUUGCGAGGUGGGGCGCACCAAGAGCGUACACGCUGGGACCCGAAAGAUGGUGAACUAUGCCUGGUCAGGACGAAGUCAGGGGAAACCCUGAUGGAGGUCCGUAGCGAUUCUGACGUGCAAAUCGAUCGUCGGAACUGGGCUUAGGGGCGAAAGACUAAUCGAACCAUCUAGUAGCUGGUUCCCACCGAAGUUUCCCUCAGGAUAGCUGGCACUAGAUUAUGGAUGAGUCUCAUCCGGUAAAGCGAAUGAUUAGAGGCAUUGGGGUCGAAACGGCCUCAACCUAUUCUCAAACUUUAAAUGGGUGAGAUCUCCGGCUUGCUCGAUUUAUGAAGCCGGAGAUCGGAUCAAUUAGUGCCAAGUGGGCCACUUUUGGUAAGCAGAACUGGCGCUGUGGGAUGAACCAAACGCAGAGUUAAAGCGCCAAAAUCGACGCUUAUGGGAUACCAUGAAAGGCGUUGGUAACUUAA
rnacentral:rRNA from 1 species